CCCUAUUAUGAAAAAUUUAAAGGAUUAUUAUGAUUAAGAAAUUUAAAAAUUUUGGCGGUUAUUUAUUAAUUAGAGGGGCUUGUUUUUAGAAUUUACUCUUUAUAUUUUAUGAAUUUGUGUUUAUUUAUCUCCGUUUUUAGGUGAAAGUUACAUAAGUAGUACCACUUGAACUUCAGGUCAAGAUGUAGCUUGAAUUUAAAUUAAUUAGCUAUAUUUAUGUAAUAAGUGGAAAUAAGAUAUUAUAGUAGGAAUGGUAAUAAAAAUAUUUAUUGAAUAUAAAUUUAAUUGUAAUUUUGUUUAUAAAAAUGAAAUGAAGAAGUAUAAUUAAUGUA
rnacentral:rRNA from 1 species